GUUGCAAGUUCUUGCUGUUGCCGCGCAUUUUUGCUUGUACUCAAUUUUAGGUCUGGCAUCGAAUUUUUCAAGUUCUGUUCGUUUCCCUUCUUCGCUUCUUGAUUUGAUCCUUCUAUUCGCUUUCGUAGAGGAGUUCUUGUUGUAUUACCUGCAGAGGAAGGACACAACUGGAAUUGAGAACAGGUAUUUUGAUCUUUUGCUUGUUCCCAUUGCGAUGUGUAUUUUUUCUACGAUUCUGGAGUUAAAGUCUUCCUCAAAAUCGAAUAAUUAUGCAAGAAUG
rnacentral:misc_RNA from 1 species